rnacentral:rRNA from 1 species
UUGGAGGGCAAGUCUGGUGCCAGCAGCCGCGGUAAUUCCAGCUCCAAUAGCGUAUAUUAAAGUUGUUGCGGUUAAAAAGCUCGUAGUUGAAUUUCGGGGUUAGUAGGUUGGUUAUGCCACUGGUAUGUACUGGUCUCACUGAUUCCUCCUUCCUGAUGAGCCGUAAUGCCAUUAAUUUGGUGUUGCGAGGAAUCUGGACUGUUACUUUGAAAAAAUUAGAGUGUUUAAAGCAAGCUAACGCUUGAAUACAUUAGCAUGGAAUAAUGAGAUAGGACGUUCGAUCCUAUUUUGUUGGUUUCUAGGAUUGACGUAAUGAUUAAUAGGGAUAGUUGGGGGCAUUAGUAUUCAAUUGUCAGAGGUGAAAUCCUUGGAUUUAUUGAAGACUAACUACUGCGAAAGCAUUUGCCAAGGAUGUUUUCAUUAAUCAAGAACGAAAGUCAGGGGAUCGAAGACGAUCAGAUACCGUCGUAGUCUUAGCCAUAAACUAUGCCGACUAGGGAUCGGAUGAUGUUAAUUUUUUAAUGACUCAUUCGGCGCCUUACGGGAAACCAAAGUGUUUGGGUUC